rnacentral:rRNA from 1 species
UACAGAGGUCCCGAGCGUUGUUCGGAUUCACUGGGCGUAAAGGGUGCGCAGGUGGUCGGGUAAGUCUGAUGUGAAAUCCCGCAGCUUAACUGCGGAAUGGCAUUGGAUACUAUUCGGCUAGAGGGUUGGAGGGGGGACUGGAAUUCUCGGUGUAGCAGUGAAAUGCGUAGAUAUCGAGAGGAACACCAGUGGCGAAGGCGAGUCCCUGGACAACUCCUGACGCUGAGGCACGAAAGCUAGGGGAGCAAACAGG